GGGCCCCCGAGGAGAGGCCGGCGGGGUGGAGUGAGGACACGCAUCUGGGACGGCGCCCGCCGCCGCUCUGGCGUUCGCCACAGGGAGAAAGUGUUCAAGCUGUUGUGGGGUCCUCGCGCGUAUUCUUCCAGUGACAGAAGUUGGAACUUUUCAGAUUAAAAGAAGAAUUAUUAGCUUGAGGAAACCAAUAGCAAUUUAACAGAAAUACCGUAAGGACAUCUACCAAGAUACUGACACAACUGAAAAUUUCUGAAUGUCAAGGUGGUUUUGAUAGGCACUCUGCUGAAUAUCACAACAGGAACCAAGGUGGAAAAGGGGGACGAGUAUCUGGGUAUUUGCCAUUUUGUUACUCUGAAUAAAUGUUACAUAGUUUUA